CUUGGUCAUUUAGAGGAAGUAAAAGUCGUAACAAGGUCUCCGUUGGUGAACCAGCGGAGGGAUCAUUACAGAGUUGCAAAACUCCCUAAACCAUUGUGAACGUUACCUAAACCGUUGCUUCGGCGGGCGGCCCGGGUCCUUCCCGGCGCCCCUCGGCCCUCGCGGGCGCCCGCCGGAGGUAAACCAAACUAUUGCAUUGUAUGGCCUCUCUGAGUCUCUGUACUGAAUAAGUCAAAACUUUCAACAACGGAUCUCUUGGUUCUGGCAUCGAUGAAGAACGCAGCGAAAUGCGAUAAGUAAUGUGAAUUGCAGAAUUCAGUGAAUCAUCGAAUCUUUGAACGCACAUUGCGCCCGCCAGUAUUCUGGCGGGCAUGCCUGUUCGAGCGUCAUUUCAACCAUCAAGCCCCGGGCUUGUGUUGGGGACCUGCGGCUGCCGCAGGCCCUGAAAUGCAGUGGCGGGCUCGCUGUCACUCCGAGCGUAGUAGUUACAUCACGCUCUGGGCGUGCUGCGGGUUCCGGCCGUUAAAAGCCUUAUUUACCCAAGGUUGACCUCGGAUCAGGUAGGAAGACCCGCUGAACUUAAGCAUAUCAAUAAGCGGAGGA
rnacentral:rRNA from 1 species